UUUUUGUUUUUACUAAAAAGAAGAUUUGGGUGUUUCUCUGCUAGAUGGCCAAAGUGACCACCCUCCUUGGCUGAUGGCAUUUUACUCACGCAUUGUAGAGAAAAAAAUGGUUGAGAAAUCAACUUUUUCUUGACCAAAGUGACCCUCCUUGGCUCAAGGUUUGGUCCUUUUACUAUGGCCAUGUUUAGUUUUGGUCCUAGACUCUAAUUAAAACCAAUCAAGUUUGGCACUUAUCUUUCUAAACCUGGUCCCACAACACAACUAAAGAAUUUUCAUCAAUGAUGUGAUUGCAGUUUUGCACAUCUGGCAACCUAGCGAACCAAAAAAAAUCUAGAGAUUUUUCAAAUAGGUAUAUUUUACUAAGAACUCAGAAUAUUUUGUAUUUGAAAGUUAGGACAAAAAAAAACAAUGCAACUUGAAAAAUAUCUAGACAUUACCAAAAGCUAGGGCGUAAAAAGAUAUAGAGAAAAAGGGAAAAAAGUAUUACUGAAAAACAAAAGAACUAGAGAAAACUCACAAAUCAUCAUUCAUAAUCUUCUUUUUUACUUUAUUUUUUUUAUUUCCAAAAUUUUAUCUUCAAAAUUUGAGUUGUUUAGCAUUUUGUUGACUUUUAAAAUGUUUGGUUCGAUCAGGUGAAUACUCUAGAAAUUGGAGGAUAACAAAAUCACUACCGUGCGGUCGAUCAUCCCGAAACAGCUAAACCAGGCGUGCAUGUCACGACACACCUUCCUAUUUAUUAGACUGGACCCAUUCCAGUUUCCGUUUAGGCUUCUUACAUUAUUUCUGUCUCAAACCAUCGCAUCUUCUUGUCCCGAUUUUCUCUUGCCAGGAAGACGGCACUCUGUGCUAGCACGAAGGGAGGAUGCGGAAAGAAGCCAUGCCGCCCCCAUGUCGACGACGUACUCUCCGACUCCGAUUUCCCCUUCUUGACUACCAACAUCCCUACCCGCCAGAUGCCACACAUGUCAACUGCUUCCACCGCCCGCAUCUUGGUCAUCAGGGCUAGGGUUUUGCAGGGAUGGACGUCGUGGUCACCUAUAUCUUUGGUAUGUUGCCCCCCCGUUCCCUCUUCUUUCUUCAAUAGUGCCGGAUCCAACCAUGGUUCCUUGCUAGGAGAGAUUGGUUCUCUUUCCACAUUUAUUAGCGAUUUUAUUGGAUUUCUAAUGUAUAUAAAUAUUUAUUUAGGGGCGA
rnacentral:lncRNA from 1 species